CCGGCGCACGGGUGAGUAACACGUAUGCAAUCCACCUGUAACAGGGGGAUAACCCGGAGAAAUCCGGACUAAUACCCCAUAAUAUGGGCGCUCCGCAUGGAGAGCCCAUUAAAGAGAGCAAUUUUGGUUACAGACGAGCAUGCGCUCCAUUAGCCAGUUGGCGGGGUAACGGCCCACCAAAACAACGAUGGAUAGGGGUUCUGAGAGGAAGGUCCCCCACAUUGGAACUGAGACACGGUCCAA
rnacentral:rRNA from 1 species